CUGCUUUGGCAGCAUAUACACUAAAAUUGGAACGAUACAGAGAAGAUUAGCACGGCCCCUGCACGAGGAUGACACACAAAUUUGUGAAACAUUCUAUAUUUAA